UAGGGAAUCUUCCGCAAUGGGCGAAAGCCUGACGGAGCAAUGCCGCGUGAGUGAAGAAGGCCUUCGGGUCGUAAAACCCUGUUUUAAGAGAAGAACAAAUUGUAGAGUAACUGCUACAGUCUUGACGGUAUCUUAUCAGAAAGCCACGGCUAACUACGUGCCAGCAGCCGCGGUAAUACGUAGGUGGCAAGCGUUGUCCGGAUUUAUUGGGCGUAAAGGGAGCGCAGGUGGUUUCUUAAGUCUGAUGUGAAAGCCCACGGCUUAACCGUGGAGGGUCAUUGGAAACUGGGAAACUUGAGUACAGAAGAGGAAUGUGGAACUCCAUGUGUAGCGGUGGAAUGCGUAGAUAUAUGGAAGAACACCAGUGGCGAAGGCGACAUUCUGGUCUGUUACUGACACUGAGGCUCGAAAGCGUGGGGAGCAAACAGG
rnacentral:rRNA from 1 species